rnacentral:rRNA from 1 species
GACAGAGGCCCCGAGCGUUAAUCGGAAUUACUGGGCUUAAAGGGUGCGUAGGCUGAUCCGAAAGUGCUCCGUGAAAUCCCCCGGCUCAACCGGGGAACAGCGAGGCAUACUGCGGAUCUUGAGGCAGGUAGGCGCCGAGGGAACAGUAGGUGGAGCGGUGAAAUGCGUAGAUAUCUACUGGAACGCCGAUGGUGAAGACGCUCGGCUGGGCCUGUCCUGACGCUGAGGCACGAAAGCGUGGGGAGCAAACGGG